AAGGCGACGAUCAGUAGCCGACCUGAGAGGGUGAUCGGCCACAUUGGGACUGAGACACGGCCCAAACUCCUACGGGAGGCAGCAGUGGGGAAUAUUGCACAAUGGGGGAAACCCUGAUGCAGCGACGCCGCGUGACUGAAGAAGUAUCUCGGUAUGUAAAGCUCUAUCAGCAGGGAAGAAGAUGACGGUACCUGACUAAGAAGCACCGGCUAAAUAC
rnacentral:rRNA from 1 species